UUUUCCUUCUAAGAGAAGAGCACAGGAUAGGUAUACGGUUUUAGAUGUCGGUUUAAUUCUUUUUUUUCUUUUUUUUUUAACUGUUGUAAUUGUAAGGUCCAAGAUUAAAACAUCAAUGGGUAAACAGGUGGAAUAUAAGAUAACAGGUUAAUCAAUUAUUGAAUGGUUUAAAAUCAAAUUCAGUGUUAUGUCAAAAGUGCACAUGCUUACCUGUAUGUGCCAGUACCCCACCGGUCCAGGAUAUUCCGCUACAUUAUUUAACAGGUUCCUUCCCUAUGCCGAUGAAGGGCAGCCAUCCCUCUGUGGUGCAGACGACUACCUAGAGCGAGGUUUUUUUUCACCAUGAAAAACAAUGGAAUUCCUCAACUUCCCUCCAAUAUCAAGAUAAGCAGAUGCAUUAAAUUGUUAUUCCAUACAACUGUGUAACACGAAUGGAAUGGGUAAAAGAAGAAGAUUGUGAAAACGUCUUGGAGUGGAUAGGAUGGAAAGAUGAAACCAUGUGACAUUGGAUCUGAUAUACCCUCGCAUCAUUUUGAAAUGAGGCUAAUGAGACCCAGUUCAGGAGGCAGCAUGUGUAGUGCCAUGCCACUUUUCCUUAAAAACUGGGGAGUGGACCUGCUGAUGUUGCUGGCAAAAUCAUGACCCUCUCCUUUUAGUGUAAUGGCUCUCUUCCCGUCAUCCAUUGCCACUUUACUCCCAACAGCUGUUAGCCUGUCCUGCCUUCCACCCCCCCCCCCCCCCCCCCCCCACCUUAAAACGCUGCAGCUGGCAGGAC